rnacentral:rRNA from 1 species
GGAGGGUGCAAGCGUUAUCCGGAUUUACUGGGUUUAAAGGGAGCGCAGGCGGGCUGAUAAGUCAGUGGUGAAAUCCCCGAGCUUAACUUGGGAACUGCCAUUGAUACUAUUGGUCUUGAAUGUUGUGGAGGUAAGCGGAAUAUGUCAUGUAGCGGUGAAAUGCAUAGAUAUGACAUAGAACACCUAUUGCGAAGGCAGCUUACUACGCAAAUAUUGACGCUGAGGCUCGAAAGCGUGGGGAUCAAACAGGAUUAGAUACCCUGGUAGUCCACGCCCUAAACGAUGAUUACUCGACGUGCGCGAUAUUACAGUGCGCGUCUGAGCGAAAGCAUUAAGUAAUCCACCUGGGAAGUACGACCGCAAGGUUGAA